GGUAUUAAAGCCCCAAAUAGCAAAAUUGCUCAUCCUUUUUCACAAAAUCCUCUCAAGAACAAGCUCUAGCUUCAUCAAGUUCAAGAAUCAAGCCUCAAGAACUCCCCCUCAAUCUUCACGAAAUUUACAAUCAAGGUAUGUUAGGUGUUCAUCUAUGGGUUCCUUUCACCCAUAGAGUUCAAGAAUUCAUUUUUAAAACUACAAGAUUAUUGAUUCAUGAUUUACAUGCUUGAAAUUGGAUUGAAUUCAUGUUCAUGACAUUAAUUGAGUUUCAACCCAUGAUUAAUUGUGGAUUUCAUGAAAUUGAAAUAGCAUGUAUAUUGAAUUGUAUAAUUUCCAUGUUAUAAUCCUUGAAUUAGAAAGUUUGGGUGUUAUAGUUACAAUGUUUACAUGUUGUCCAUGAUUAUAUGCAUUAAGUUGUUCUCCCCAUGUGUUGGAUGGAAUAUAUGUCCAUGUGAAUUAAAUGGUGAAAUCAUGACAUGCUAGCAUAUGUACAAGUAUAUGCCCUAUAAGUGUUUGAUAACAUGUCUCUAUGAAUAAAUUGUGAACAAGUGGACCUUGUUAUGCUUUUCAAGAUCAUAUUAUGCUUUACUUUUCAUGCUGUCGAGUCCAGGGGUAUCUAAUACCCGACAAUCUAGUUGUUUACUUAGAAUUUCAAUAGCUAUAGAAUAGUCUCAGUAAUAUCACGUACAGUAGUACUCAGUCAGUUACAGAACUCAGUGUAUUCAAGUUAGCACAAUCUGUAACAAUUUAAUCCAGCCUAGUAUAAUUUAUAAAUCAGUUUAAUAUCUAUUCAGUUGGGAGUAGGAUUCAACACCGAGUGAACCCAAAGAUGGGGACUCACCUGCCAGUGGAGGGUGAAAUCCUUAGAAGAAAUCCUUGCAUUCUAGAACUACGUAGCCAGCGUAGGUUGAGACAUCAACCUGCCAUUUAAAGGUUGAUAAGGUGUCUUACCUACUAGUUGAGGGUACCACCGUUCUCAUUCAGAGCACCUGCCAGAUGAGGGUGACUCAGCAACUUGUCUUUACCCGUGGCACGAUUGACACCCUUCCAACUGGGGUUACAGGUUGGACCCCAAUCAGUUCAGAGAGGGGCAUGUCGGCUAGAUGAUUACCUCCCACAGUUUCGAUUUCAGUCUCAGUAUAGAACUCAGUUCAGUUCUACAAUACUAGGACUGUCAGAAACAGUCACCCAACUCAGUUCUACAGCAUCAGGUCUGUCAGAAACAGACACCAAGCUAACAGUAAUACAGUUAUCAGUGAACUCAGAUACCAGUGAUUCAGUUAUUAGAACUCAAUACCCAAUGUUAAUAUGAUCUCAGUUACAGUGUACGUAGUUAUGUGUAUAGUAUUGCAUAACCAGUAUUUACAGCAGUUUCAUAUAUACAUGUACUCUCAUUCAGUUAUAUUCAUAUUACUCAGCUAGUAUUGUUCAUGAAUAUGAACCCAUGCAUUCAACCUUACCUCACUUAGCAUACCAGUACAUUCAAAGUACUGACGCAUACUUUUCUUUUGCGCUGUGAUAUCUUAUAUCAUAGGUUCAGGCGCACGGGCUCCUGACCGUACUUAGCAGCCCAGAUUAUCAGCAGCAGAUUUAGUGGUGAGUCCUCAUAGUUCGAGGACAUAGUCAUCUUUUUAGUAUUUCAGUUUAUUUUUCAGUAGUCGGAGUUAGUUGGGGACUUAUCCCAUCAACUCCAUGCUUAGACAGUUAAAGGCUUUUCCGACUAAAUUAUCUCAGAUAGAUGCUCAACUUUCAGUAUUUAUUUAUCAAUAUUUGAUUUCAGUUAUGAACCUUAUGGUAUUUCAGCCUAUUUUCCGCAUUAUUUCAGUAUUAUUGUUCAGUGCUCACAGCAGGUACCAGUCAUAGAUUAGCUUGUGGUUCUUCGGGAUCGUAAGCACCGUGUGGCUCCGGGGUACAGACUCGGGGCGCUACAAGAUGGUCCACCAAUCAUGACUUCUUGUCCAACGACCUGGUCUAUUGGAUGCCAUCGAUACAGAAGGUAUGGAGAAUACAACUAGGGGUAGGCAGGACGAUGGUAGUUGAAGCAAGAGGUGAAUGAAGACAAAUGUUUUGAGCAAAGGAAUUUAGAGUUAAAUAGUAUUAUUGGUUGGGGAGAUACUCCGAAUAAAAUGGAUUAAGGAAUUAUAGAUUCAUUCAAAGAUAAUUUAAUUUUAAUAUUGAAAUUAAAUAAAGAGUAAUGAUAUCAUUUCAACCCCAAACUUAUCCCCA
rnacentral:lncRNA from 1 species